GUUCUUGUAGCGCAAUGGAUAGCGCCUUGGACUUCUAAUCCAAAGAACAUGGGAUGGAAUCCCACCUGGAAUG